rnacentral:lncRNA from 1 species
GACAACAGACUGCUCCAGGUCGUAGUUGUUCUGCCUCAGUAUCUGCUUGUUCAGGUCAGCCUGCAUGAAACCCAGUACCUCAAGCUCACUCAUCAUCUUCUCCUCCAGCAGGUGGUUGACGACUUCCUCAGCCAAAGGGGCAGCAGGUGCUGCUGCAACCACAGGCAUGCUAACAGGAGCAGCAACAGGUGCAGGUGCGGAUGCACUAACAGGUGCAGGCACAGGCACAGGUUUGGGCAGGAGAAUUGCUUCAGGUGCAGGCACAGCAGCAGGCAUCGAAGCCAAUGCAGCCUCGGCAGAUGAGGCAGGAGCAUCAGUAACUGGGAUUUGCGCCGGUUCAACUGCUGCUGGGGCAGAGGACAUAUCACUAGGAACUGGUUCAGAUUCCUUGGGUUCCAUGGUUUCACAUUCAAGCCUGCCGUGCCAUCCAGACAAAAAAUUUACAGGAGCACUGUUUAUAUUGAAUGCAGAAGGCCUUGUGCUGUUAGCUUCAGGGAGCUGAUUCCG